UACGUAGGUGGCAAGCGUUGUCCGGAAUUAUUGGGCGUAAAACGCGCGCAGGCGGUCCUUUAAGUCUGAUGUGAAAGCCCACGGCUCAACCGUGGAGGGUCAUUGGAAACUGGGGGACUUGAGUACAGAAGAGAAGAGUGGAAUUCCACGUGUAGCGGUGAAAUGCGUAGAGAUGUGGAGGAACACCAGUGGCGAAGGCGACUCUUUGGUCUGUAACUGACGCUGAGGCGCGAAAGCGUGGGGAGCAAACAGG
rnacentral:rRNA from 1 species